CCUACGGGAGGCAGCAGUGGGGAAUAUUGCGCAAUGGGCGAAAGCCUGAAGCAGCGACGCCGCGUGAGGGAUGAAGGUCUUCGGAUCGUAAAACUCUGUUAGCAGGGAAGAACGGUCACUGUGCUAAUCAGCAGUGAAUUGACGGUACCUGCAAAGGAAGCACCGGCUAACUCCGUGCCAGCAGCCGCGGUAAUACGGAGGGUGCGAGCGUUAAUCGGAUUUACUGGGCGUAAAGCGCUCGUAGGCGGUAUGUCAAGUCAAGGGUGAAAGCCCCGGGCUCAACGUGGGAACUGCCUUUGAAACUGGCAAACUGGAGUGUGUGAGAGGAUAGUGGAAUUCCAGGGGUAGGGGUGAAAUCCGUAGAUAUCUGGAAGAACAUCAGUGGCGAAGGCGACUAUCUGGCACGUAACUGACGCUGAGGAGCGAAAGCGUGGGUAGCGAACAGGAUUAGAUACCCGUGUAGUC
rnacentral:rRNA from 1 species